AUACUUACCUGGCAGAGCAAAUAUCCAGAUUGAGGUGGUAUUUUUCUUAGUGGGAAGCUAAUCCAUUGCACUGUGGACAUGCUGACCCCAGCCAUUCCCCCAGAUGUUGGGAGCAAGAGGGCAUAGUCGGUGGUAGUUAGGAAGUGCAUUUGCGCUUUCCUCA
rnacentral:snRNA from 1 species